GCGGUCAUGAGCUAGCGACAGACCCAAUACAGUUCCGGUAUAGCAGGCGCGAAUCAAUCCCUUAAAAUAUUCGCUCCGGGGUGCUUUCAAGGCUUACUCAAGGUUCCGAUCACUAUCGAUGGGCUCAAUUCAAUCCCUACAGUUUUACAUUAUUCUACUUCUCCUGUCCAGUUUUGGCAAACAGUUCUGAAACUUCCUGAUGUUCAUGUGACCUUCACCUUACCUGAAAUUAAGUACUAAGAUGACCGCAAGGAACUCUGGGUAGAGUGUGCGUCAGUCAGCAAAAUCACAGCCGAGGCGCUUGUCCAAUGGGAGCAGAGGCUCCACCAAUCAGCUUUCAGAAUCAACUUGAAUCCACCAAUCAGUGAGUAGAUCCCUAACCAACAACCAAUCAGAGGUAAGCAAUAUACUUUUUUCACCAAUCAGAACAUCUUAGCUUCUUUC